AUACGGAGGGGGUUAGCGUUGUUCGGAAUUACUGGGCGUAAAGCGCACGUAGGCGGACUGGAAAGUUGGGGGUGAAAUCCCGGGGCUCAACCCCGGAACUGCCUCCAAAACUUCCAGUCUAGAGAUCGAGAGAGGUAAGUGGAAUUCCUAGUGUAGAGGUGAAAUUCGUAGAUAUUAGGAGGAACACCAGUGGCGAAGGCGGCUUACUGGCUCGAUACUGACGCUGAGGUGCGAAAGCGUGGGGAGCAAACAGGAUUAGAAACCCCAGUAGUCC
rnacentral:rRNA from 1 species